rnacentral:rRNA from 1 species
GGAAGAGACGGCUAACUCUGUGCCAGCAGCCGCGGUAAUACAGAGGUCUCGAGCGUUAAUCGGAGUCACUGGGCUUAAAGGGUGCGUAGGCGGCGCUGCAAGUGCCUUGUGAAAUCCCACCGCUCAACGGUGGAAUUGCUCGGUAGACUGCAGUGCUUGAGGUUGGUAGGGGCUGUCGGAACUCUAGGUGGAGCGGUGAAAUGCGUAGAUAUCUAGAGGAACGCCAAAGGUGAAGACAGACAGCUGGGCCAAUACUGACGCUGAGGCACGAAAGCGUGGGGAGCAAACGGGAUUAGAUACCCCGGUAGUCCACGCCCUAAACGAUGUACACUAGAUCCUGGAGGCUCUGACGCCCCCGGGGUUGAAGCAAAAGUAUUAAGUGUACCGCCUGGGGAGUACGGUCGCAAGGCUAAAACUCAAAGGAAUUGACGGGGGCUCACACAAGCGGUGGAGCAUGUGGCUUAAUUCGAAGCAACGCGAAGAACCUUAUCCAAGGCUUGACAUGUAUGGAUUAGCUCUGGGAAACCAGAGUGACACUCUUGUAGUGGAACAUACACAGGUGCUGCAUGGCUGUCGUCAGCUCGUGCUGUGAAGUGUCGGGUUAAGUCCCUUAACGAGCGAAACCCCUAUCGUUAGUUGCUACCAGGUAAUGCUGAGGACUCUAACGAGACUGCCGGUGUCAAACCGGAGGAAGGUGGGGAUGACGUCAAGUCCUCAUGGCCCUUAUGCCUUGGGCUGCACACGUGCUACAAUGGCGUGGUACAAAGCGAAGCAAGACCGCAAGGUGGAGCAAAUCGCAUAAAACACGCCCCAGUUCGGAUUGAGGUCUGCAACUCGACCUCAUGAAGUUGGAAUCGCUAGUAAUCGUGGAUCAGCUACGCCACGGUGAAUAUGUUCCUGAGCCUUGUACACACCGCCCGU